rnacentral:rRNA from 1 species
CACGUAGGGUGCGAGCGUUGUCCGGAAUUAUUGGGCGUAAAGAGCUCGUAGGCGGUGUGUCGCGUCGGCCGUGAAAACCUGCAGCUUAACUGUGGGCUUGCGGUCGAUACGGGCAUCACUGGAGUUCGGCAGGGGAGACUGGAAUUCCUGGUGUAGCGGUGAAAUGCGCAGAUAUCAGGAGGAACACCGGUGGCGAAGGCGGGUCUCUGGGCAGUA